rnacentral:rRNA from 1 species
CUACGGGAUGCUGCAGUGGGGAAUAUUGCACAAUGGGCGAAAGCCUGAUGCAGCAAUGCCGCGUGAGGGACGACGGCCUUCGGGUUGUAAACCUCUUUUAGCAGGGAAGAAGCGAGAGUGACGGUACCUGCAGAAAAAGCACCGGCUAACUACGUGCCAGCAGCCGCGGUAAUACGUAGGGUGCAAGCGUUGUCCGGAAUUAUUGGGCGUAAAGAGCUCGUAGGCGGUUUGUCGCGUCUGCUGUGAAAAUCCGAGGCUCAACCUCGGACCUGCAGUGGGUACGGGCAAACUAGAGUGCGGUAGGGGAGAUUGGAAUUCCUGGUGUAGCGGUGGAAUGCGCAGAUAUCAGGAGGAACACCAAUGGCGAAGGCAGAUCUCUGGGCCGUAACUGACGCUGAGGAGCGAAAGCGUGGGGAGCGAACAGGAUUAGAUACCCUCGUAGUC